UGAUUCUUUUUAGGGGAAGGUGUGGUGUAAAGGAUGUUCCGCCUAAUAAUUUACUUUCGUUAUGUUGGUGUAUAUCUGGUUUAAUAUUAUCGUUGAGUAAGUGAGUUUGUGUAGUUUUAUUUAAGCCAAGUCUAUGUGCUGCUUAUGAAAGUAUUCAUGCGUUACAUUUAUAAGGUUUUGGUUGUAAUACUAAAAUAUUUAGGACUUAAAAGUAAUGUUCAAUAAGUUUGUGAGUGUGAAGUAAGUUUAGCUCAUGUACACACCGCAC
rnacentral:rRNA from 1 species